rnacentral:misc_RNA from 1 species
AAUCCAAGAAUUUCACCUCUGACAGUUAAAUAUGAAUGCCCCCAACCGUCCCUAUUAAUCAUCACCUCAGCUCUAGAAACCAACAAAAUAGAACCAAGGCCCUAUCUUAUUAUUCCAUGCUAAUGUAUCCAAGGCAUGCACCUGCUUGAAACACUCUAAUUUCCUCAAAGUAAAGUCCUGCAUCCCGCGCCACACAGCGAAGUGCAGCUACGCUCUCCAAGAAGAUGCCAAGGCCAAGCCAGAUACUCACCCAGAGGGCGGACCGGUCGCCCUCGACAGAAACCCAACUACGAGCUUUUUAACUGCAGCAACUUUAAUAUACACUAUUGGAGCUGGAAUUACCGCCC